UACGUAGGGGGCAAGCGUUGUCCGGAUUUAUUGGGCGUAAAGAGCGUGUAGGCGGCUUGGUAGGUCCGCUGUGAAAACUCGAGGCUCAACCUCGAGAUGUCGGCGGAAACCACUUGGCUAGAGUCCGGAAGAGGAGAGUGGAAUUCCUGGUGUAGCGGUGAAAUGCGCAGAUAUCUGGAGGAACACCGGUGGCGAAGGCGGCAUCCUGGACCGACACUGACGCUGAGGAGCGAAAGCCAGGGGAGCAAACGGG
rnacentral:rRNA from 1 species